CCUACGGGUGGCAGCAGUGAGGAAUAUUGGUCAAUGGGCGGAAGCCUGAACCAGCCAAGUAGCGUGCGGGAUGAAGGCCCUACGGGUCGUAAACCGCGUUUGCAGGGGGAUAACACCCUCCACGUGUGGAGGUCUGCAGGUACCGUGCGAAUAAGGGCAGGCUAAUUCCGUGCCAGCAGCCGCGGUAAUACGGCAGGGCCGAGCGUUAUCCGGAUUGAUUGGGCUAAAGGGGAGCGUAGGCGGGCGUUCAAGUCAGCUGUAAAAUCGCGCGGCUCAACCGCGCCCCGCCGUUGAAACUGGGCGCCUUGAGUUCACAACAGGCAGGCGGAAUUCGUGGUGUAGCGGU
rnacentral:rRNA from 1 species